rnacentral:rRNA from 1 species
AGUGAAUAGAUACCCUGGUAGUCCACGCCUUAAACGAUGAGAGCUAGUUGUCAGUAAGCAUGCUUAUUGGUGACGCAGCUAACGCAUUAAGCUCUCCGCCUGGGGAGUACGGCCGCAAGGUUAAAACUCAAAGAAAUUGACGGGGCCGGCCACAAGCGGUGGAGCAUGUGGUUUAAGUUUACGAAGCAACGCGCAGAACCUUACCCACCUUUGUACAUCCCGUCGCUAUCUAGAGAGAUCUAGAGUCCCUUCCGGGGUCGGCGGAGACAGGUGCUGCAUGGCUGUCGUCAGCUCGUGUCGUGAGAUGUUGGGUUUAAGUCCCGCAACGAGCGCAACCCUCGCUUCUAGUUGCCAGCAUUUAGUUGGGUCACUCUAGAGGAACUGCCUGCGCCAAGCAGGAGGAAGGCGGGGAGUGACGUCAAGUCCUCAUGGCCCUUACAGGUGGGGCUACACACGUGCUACAAUGG